rnacentral:rRNA from 1 species
UACAGAGGGUGCAAGCGUUAAUCGGAAUUACUGGGCGUAAAGCGCGCGUAGGCGGUUUGGUAAGUGUGAUGUGAAAUCCCCGGGCUCAACCUAGGAACUGCAUCACAUACUGCCAGGCUAGAGUACGGUAGAGGGGGGUAGAAUUCCACGUGUAGCGGUGAAAUGCGUAGAUAUGUGGAGGAAUACCGAUGGCGAAGGCAGCCCCUGGGUCGAUACUGACGCUCAUGCACGAAAGCGUGGGGAGCAAACAGGAUUAGAUACCCCGGUAGU